CGUGAGUAACCUGCCUCUAAGAGGGGAAUAAACAUUCUGAAAAGAAUGCUAAUACCGCAUAACAUAUAUUUAUCGCAUGGUAGAUAUAUCAAAGAUUUAUCGCUUAGAGAUGGACUCGCGUCCGAUUAGUUAGUUGGUGAGGUAACGGCUCACCAAGACUGCGAUCGGUAGCCGGACUGAGAGGUUGAACGGCCACAUUGGGACUGAGACACGGCCCAG
rnacentral:rRNA from 1 species